rnacentral:rRNA from 1 species
AUUGAACGCUGGCGGCAGGCCUAACACAUGCAAGUCGAGCGAGCGGCGGACGGGUGAGUAAUGUAUGGGGAUCUGCCCGAUAGAGGGGGAUAAAUACUGGAAACGGUGGCUAAUACCGCAUACUAUCAGAUGACCCCAUAUGGGAUUCGCUUGUAGGUGGGGUAAAGGCUCACCUAGGCGACGAUCGCUAGCUGGUCUGAGAGGAUGACCAGCCACACUGGAACUGAGACACGGCCCAGACUCCUACGGGAGGCAGCAGUGGGGAAUAUUGCACAAUGGGCGCAAGCCUGAUGCAGCCAUGCCGCGUGUAUGAAGAAGGCCUUAGGGUUGUAAAGUACUUUCAGCGGGGAGGCGUUACCCGCAGAAGAAGCACCGGCUAACUCCGUGCCAGCCGCCGCGGUAAUAC